AUGCUGCUCAGGUCAUCCUCAUCUGCGUUCCUGCUAAACGGCGAUCCUGGAAUUCCUCUGAUCUACCGGCGUGGGCUGCGGCAAGGAGACCCCUUGUCCCCGUUGUUGUUUAUCCUAGCCAUCGACAUCCUCCACCACCUCAUAACGAAAGCUGCUGAAGAUGGCAUUCUUGCCCCCCUGCCUGGAAGAGAGCUGAAACUGCGCACCAGCAUGUACCCUGAUGACGCAGUCAUUUUUGCAAACCCAGUUCGAGAAGAGUUCGACAAGCUGCUUGACAUCAUCACUCGCUUUGGGGAGGCUUCAGGUCUGCACCUCAAUAUCAGCAAGUGCACCGUCACGCCCAUCAGAUGUGAUCACAUUAACCUCCACGAGGUUCUGCAUGCUUUUGGCGGGCAGAUAGUGGCCUUCCCAAUAAGAUAUUUGGGAUUGCCAAUAAGCCUCGGAAGAGCCAGACUGGUUCAUUUUCAGUUCAUCUUGGACCGCAUCCGAGCUCGCCUGGCUGGCUGGAAAGGGAAGCUGAUGCAUAUCGCAGGGAGAAGAGUGCUUGUUAGAAGCGUCCUAUCUGCAAUCCCAACAUUUGCACUCUCUGUUCUUCGGCCGCCCAAGCUUCUUUUCAAAGAGAUUGAUAAAGCUCGCCGAAAGUUUCUUUGGACGCAAGAGGAUGAGCUCAGCGGCGGCAAAUGCAAGGUUGCCUGGAAGCACAUCUGCACACCGACUGAGUAUGGAGGCCUUGGCAUCCACAACCUGCAGAAAUUCUCCUGCGCCUUGCGGCUUCGAUGGUUGUGGUUGUCAUGGCAAAAUGAAGACAGACCUUGGAAGGGAUCGGAACUACCAUGUGACAAAGAAGACAAGGCCAUGUUCGACAAUGCAACCACUGUGAUCCUCGGAAACGGCAGGACGGCUUCCUUCUGGCAAUCCCCAUGGAUCACCUCUCUAAACCUUGCCAUUCUGUUCCCGGAGCUGUUCAAGCGAUCACGAGGUAAAAACAGACCUGGUUCACAGCUUCAUCAUCCUCUGGAGAGCUCUACGGGCUCAAGCGGUGUUGCUGCAACCCCAGGUGGAAGAUAA
rnacentral:rRNA from 1 species